GAAGUCUGACGGAGCAACGCCGCGUGAGUGAUGAAGGUUUUCGGAUCGUAAAACUCUGUUGUUAGGGAAGAACAAGUACCGGAGUAACUGCCGGUACCUUGACGGUACCUAACCAGAAAGCCACGGCUAACUACGUGCCAGCAGCCGCGGUAAUACGUAGGUGGCAAGCGUUGUCCGGAAUUAUUGGGCGUAAAGCGCGCGCAGGCGGUUCCUUAAGUCUGAUGUGAAAGCCCCCGGCUCAACCGGGGAGGGUCAUUGGAAACUGGGGAACUUGAGUGCAGAAGAGAAAAGUGGAAUUCCACGUGUAGCGGUGAAAUGCGUAGAGAUGUGGAGGAACACCAGUGGCGAAGGCGACUCUUUGGUCUGUAACUGACGCUGAGGCGCGAAAGCGUGGGGAGCAAACAGGAUUAGAUACCCUGGUAGUCCACGCCGUAAACGAUGAGUGCUAAGUGUUAGAGGGUUUCCGCCCUUUAGUGCUGCAGCAAACGCAUUAAGCACUCCGCCUGGGAAGAACGGCCGCAAGGCUGAAACUCAAAGGAAUUGACGGGGGCCCGCACAAGCGGUGGAGCAUGUGGUUUAAUUCAAAGCAACGCGAAAAACCUUACCAGGUCUUGACAUCUCCUGACAACCCUAAAGAUAGGUCGUUCCCCUUCGAGGGACAAGAUGACAGGUGGUGCAUGGUUGUCGUCAGCUCGUGUCG
rnacentral:rRNA from 1 species